rnacentral:rRNA from 1 species
UAAACGAGGUCCGGUUGCAGCGACGAGCUAGGAUGUUGGCUUGGAAGCAGCCAUUCAUUUAAAGAGUGCGUAACAGCUCACUAGUCGAGCGACUGGGCAUGGAUAAUAAUCGGGCAUAAGCAUAUCACCGAAGCUAUGGAUUGCCGACUUUGUCGGCACUGGUAGGGGAGCAUUCCAAAUAGCGUUGAAGUUGUACUGAUAAGGUAUGGUGGAGCAUUUGGAAAAGCAAAUGUAGGCAUAAGUAACGAUAAUGCGGGGUGAGAAACCCGCACGCCGAUAGACUAAGGAUUCCUGAUCAACGUUAAUCGGAUCAGGGUAAGCCGGGGGCCUAAGGUGAACCCGAAGGGGGUAACCGAUGGGAAGCAGGUUAAUAUUCCUGCGCACUUUGUGCAAUAAAAGUGACGGAGCGACGUAGUUGCUAGGUACUGACGGAAUAGUACGUUGAGCAUAGCCUUCGGGCGAAGCGAAGCAAUGAAAUUACUUCCAAGAAAAGCGAGC